UUUAUUAUCAUGAAUACUUCUACUUCUAUUAUCAACGUACGAGUUACUUGUAGCUCUUGAAAUACUAGUACUCUAGGCCAGGUUUUCUUUUCGGCACCGUUGACUAUUUCCUGCAACGCAUCGCACUUUGCGUCUGUUAAAAACGUGGAAAGAACAAGAGACUUAUGGGAACCUUACAAGAGACUUACCCACCAUCUUACGGGAACUUCAAUACACACAUGCAAACACUGAUUCCAGGAGCGUUGCCGGUUGGGGGAUACUACUGUAUAGAACCUUCGGCCUUUCUCUGUAGGUUUUAACUUCACGCGGAGACUGCAAUCCAGUUACAAGAAAUGGAAUCCUAAAAAGUAUGCGGUCCGUGCAUUUGUCGUUGCCGAUAUAACGUGUUGCGCGUAUUGCCUUCUUCUUUCUGGCCUAAUCGCUCAGGCAUCCUGUUACCCGUCCGUUAACUCAAUACGAUACGAUACCAGGUCGCACACGUGGGUGAUAAAUGCCCUCUGCUUUUGCCACUUCUAUAGUGGGGUGGUGGUUUAUUGCUUAGUGCAAAGUGGGUCACUUACAGUUACAAGCACGAUCUACGGUUGAUGCAAUUAGAUUUUUUCGUGAAAUACUGUAGAUUUACUUUCACCUUUGUUGUGGAAAGUCGACAAUCGUGAUUAUUAUUGUAAGGCAGAAUAUUAUGCCGUUUCGACUCUUUUAAUCCAGGUACAGAUUUAGAACUUCUUAGACUUCCAUCAGAGCACGUCUAUUCUACAGUCUUUUGAACAGGUUUUGUUUAGAGUUCUGUCUUUUCGCCAAAUAAGCCAAAAUGCAUCUCUACGAAGACAGUACGCGGUCCGUGUAUGGAUGGGACGCUGUGGAUGUGGAGAUAAACGGAAUGUUGCAGCACGGCCAUGUCACCGGUCUGGAGGAAAUUAAAGGAACUCCCGGCGUCUGCUCGUGGAUUUCGGGUGUCCGACACAUCAGGCAGUGCCGGUAGAAUGCGGAAAGGUUUUCGACUGUUCCACAGAACCAUCCCGGAGACCACGAGCGGGGGCUCCUGUGGAGGUGCUGCUGUUCGAUCAUCCCUGGAAGUGGUAUCCCGGGAGAGUCCUCAUUGAUUCCUUUGUGGAUUUGUUGGACUACGCGCUGGUAGAGGUGGCCGUGGCGGGACAGCGUACUAGCGAACUGCUUCCUAGCCGACAGAUACGUUGCAUCUCCUCAUCAAAGCAACUCGAAGAAAAGCGUCUUCAACCGGGGCAUUUCAUUAUGCGGACGUGCAGUGUGCCCAGUGGCUACUGGACUCUGAAUCGUUCCUUGGCCGCGCAGUUGGUCCGCAACAUUGAGCGCACCUUCCGCUUGCGGUUUUCGUGCAUUCUCAGCCGGAAGAUGCACUACCUGCAACUACGCGAAAGGACUCCCGUCCACUCAGCCACAAUCAUGAAAUUUUUCCAUGGAGCACGAAGGGACCUAGUGUGUUCCGUCUUAGUGCACUCCGUUAAUUCACGCGGUGAGGAGGAGGAAGCGGUCGAACAAAAGCGGAAAGCGCGAUACAAUGAGGUGGGAUGCGCUUUGGCGUUCCCUUUGAAAUUUUGAAAGAGGUCUUUUUGUCUCUGGACACCAUUGACCGGCAACGAUGCCGACGCACCUGUCAACUCUGGGAAACCCUUCUCACAUCGGCGGAGCUGUGCAAAGAUGUUCGCGCUCCCUUUAUCGAUCGAGCCUUUGCACCGCGGUCGGUGAAGAAAUGGAACGGGAAUUAUGCGGUAUAUAGCUGCCUGUUCAAGCAUAUUACUCCCACAGUGCGAACGAUCUGCAUCCACGAUACACAGGUUUACAGCGGCGAUAGGGAGGGCUUGAGUGAGGUUGAUGAAGCCCUGAACUUGAUUAAACGGGUUUUGGACAACGCCGGCAUCCGUUAAGAGCGUGUGAUUGUGCACCAGCGCUCACUGACGAUCGAGCAAUCGUUGGCGUUGAAAGAAGUGUUUGCCGCGAUGGCCUCGUUGCAUUCUCGGCUGGCGACAGGCUGUGACCGUUUAAUCUGGAAAGAUUAUUCCUUGCAAUACAAAAAUAGAUCUGUUCUAGUACUGGAAUUUCGUGUGCCGUUUGCGGUCUUCAUGCUGGGGAAUUCUGACGAAGCGCAGAUCUGGGACCUGUUUGAGAAGAUUCUGUACUGCGACGGACCACCGCUGGAUAUGGAGCGAAUCGCGCAGUGUGUAGCCAGUUCUACUUGCACUAGCUGGCUUGCAAAGGAUUUGUUAGUCAGAAAUGUUCUCGAGACAUUUCAGUCCUUUGACCCGCGCCCAUCAACGCACUACCGUGGGGUCACGUGGACGCUGGACGCUAUGGCCAGCGUGGACGUCCGCAAGCUGAACACGUUAUGCCUGCACGUCUUGUGGUACCACGUUCGGAAACGGGUUGAAGCACCUUAAAGUAGAAUUCGCCCAGGUGUAAACA